UCGCAUCUGUGCAUGCAGCAUAUCAAUAAGCGGAGGAAAAGAAACUAACAAGGAUUCCCUUAGUAACGGCGAGUGAAGCGGGAAGAGCUCAAAUUUGAAAUCUUCAAGGUUUUACCUUGACGAAUUGUAGUUUAAAGAAGUGUUUUCUGUUGAAGUUUUGGUAAAAGUUCUUUGGAAUAGGACAUCAUAGAGGGUGAGAAUCCCGUAUUUGACCGUUAUUUUCAGCUGUGUGAUACACUUUCAAAGAGUCGGAUUGUUUGGGAAUGCAGUCCAAAAUGGGUGGUAAAUUUCAUCUAAAGCUAAAUAUUGGCGAGAGACCGAUUAGCGAACAAGUACCGUGAGGGAAAGAUGAAAAGAACUUUGAAAAGAGAGUUAAACAGUACGUGAAAUUGUCAAAAGGGAAGCGUUUGACACCAGUGUUGUUUUCUCGAAAAUCAAUUAAAAAGAGUUAGAUUUUGUUGUGUAUUGACCUUAACAGCUUGCAUUUCAAUUUUCUUGCUUUUUUUAAUGCACUUUUCGUUUAACAAGUCAACAUCAGUUUCUUUUGUUGUAAAAAGGGUCAUUGGAAGGUGGCUUUCUUUUCGGAGAAAGUGUUUAUAGCCUUUGACUCCUGCAAUCGGAGAGACUGAGGUCUGCAGCGUAGAUCCUUCGGGGUUAGAUACAUUUGUGCUAAGUUAUAGCUUUUUAUAGACAACUUGUUGACUAUGAUUAGUCUUGUAGCUUACUCGCUUAUGCUAUUUUACCUACGCUUAGGAUGUUGACACACGCGCGUGCUCG
rnacentral:rRNA from 1 species